GAUGAAGAACGUAGCGAAAUGCGAUAAGUAAUGUGAAUUGCAGAAUUCAGUGAAUCAUCGAAUCUUUGAACGCACAUUGCGCCCGCCAGUAUUCUGGCGGGCAUGCCUGUUCGAGCGUCAUUACAACCCUCAGGCCCCCGGGCCUGGCGUUGGGGAUCGGCGGAGCCCCCCGUGGGCACACGCCGUCCCCCAAAUACAGUGGCGGUCCCGCCGCAGCUUCCAUCGCGUAGUAGCUAACACCUCGCGACUGGAGAGCAGCGCGGCCACGCCGUAAAACACCCAACUCUUCUGAAGUUGACCUCGAAUCAGGUAGGAAUACCCGCUGAACUUAAGCAUAUCAAUAAGCGGAGGA
rnacentral:misc_RNA from 1 species